UACGAAGGGGGCUAGCGUUGCUCGGAAUUACUGGGCGUAAAGGGCGCGUAGGCGGAUACUUAAGUCGGGGGUGAAAGCCCCGGGCUCAACCUGGGAAUGGCAUUGGAAACUGGCUUGCUGGAGUGUGGCAGAGGGGGGGUGGAAUUCCGCGUGUAGCAGUGAAAUGCGUAGAGAUGCGGAGGAACACCGAUGGCGAAGGCAGCCCCCCUGGGCCAACACUGACGCUCAGGCACGAAAGCGUGGGGAGCAAACAGG
rnacentral:rRNA from 1 species